rnacentral:rRNA from 1 species
UACGUAGGGUGCGAGCGUUGUCCGGAAUUAUUGGGCGUAAAGAGCUCGUAGGCGGUCUGUCGCGUCGAUCGUGAAAACUUGGGGCUUAACCCUGAGCUUGCGGUCGAUACGGGCAUGACUGGAGUUCGGCAGGGGAGACUGGAAUUCCUGGUGUAGCGGUGAAAUGCGCAGAUAUCAGGAGGAACACCGGUGGCGAAGGCGGGUCUCUGGGCCGAUACUGACGCUGAGGAGCGAAAGCUAGGGUAGCAAACGGG